rnacentral:rRNA from 1 species
GGUUAAGCGACUAAGCGUACACGGUGGAUGCCCUGGCAGUCAGAGGCGAUGAAGGACGUGCUAAUCUGCGAAAAGCGUCGGUAAGGUGAUAUGAACCGUUAUAACCGGCGAUGUCCGAAUGGGGAAACCCAGUGUGAUUCGUCACACUAUCGUUAACUGAAUACAUAGGUUAACGAGGCGAACCGGGGGAACUGAAACAUCUAAGUACCCCGAGGAAAAGAAAUCAACCGAGAUUCCCCCAGUAGCGGCGAGCGAACGGGGAGCAGCCCAGAGUCUGAAUCAGCUUGUGUGUUAGUGGAACGGUCUGGAAAGUCCGACGGUACAGGGUGAUAGUCCCGUACACCAAAAUGCACAGGCUGUGAACUCGAAG